AACUCAACAAAAUGACCUCGUAACUUCGUAAGAAGGGGUGUUCUCCUAUCUUUUGAUUAGGAAAUCGGCACAUACCAGAGGUUAGUGACUGUUUAUUAAAAACACAGGACUCUACUAAGUGGUAACACGAUGUAUAGAGUCUGACACCUGCCCGGUGCUGGAAGGUCGGAAGGAGAAGUGUUUUGAGCUUUGAAUAUGUAGGAUAGGUGGGAGGUGGUGACAUACAACGACCAAUCCUGAAAGAUCACUCUUUCGUCUAAGGAUGCCUAACCGCCGCAACGAUCAUUCGAGGG
rnacentral:ncRNA from 1 species